rnacentral:rRNA from 1 species
CUCGUAGGCGGUUCGUCGCGUCCGGUGUGAAAGUCCAUCGCUUAACGGUGGAUCCGCGCCGGGUACGGGCGGGCUUGAGUGCGGUAGGGGAGACUGGAAUUCCCGGUGUAACGGUGGAAUGUGUAGAUAUCGGGAAGAACACCAAUGGCGAAGGCAGGUCUCUGGGCCGUCACUGACGCUGAGGAGCGAAAGCGUGGGAGCGAACA